GUGCAGCGGUGAAAUGCGUAGAGAUCUGAAGGAAUACGGGGUGGCGAAGGCGGCCCCCUGGACAGAUACUGACACUCAGAUGCGAAAGCGUGGGGAGCAAACAGGAUUAGAUACCCUGGUAGUCCACGCCGUAAACGAUGUCUACUUGGAGGUUGUGGCCUUGAGCCGUGGCUUUCGGAGCUAACGCGUUAAGUAGACCGCCUGGGGAGUACGGUCGCAAGAUUAAAACUCAAAUGAAUUGACGGGGGCCCGCACAAGCGGUGGAGCGUGUGGUUUAAUUCGAUGCAACGCGAAGAACCUUACCUACUCUUGACAUCCAGAGAACUUUCCAGAGAUGGAUUGGUGCCUUCGGGAACUCUGAGACAGGUGCUGCAGGGCUGCCGUCAGCUCGUGUUGUGAAAUGUUGGGUUAAGUCCCGCAACGAGCGCAACCCUUAUCCUUGUUUGCCAGCGAGUAAUGUCGGGAACUCCAGGGAGACUGCCGGUGAUAAACCGGAGGAAGGUGGGGACGACGUCAAGUCCUCAUGGCCCUUACGGGUUGGGCUACACACGUGCUACAAUGGUG
rnacentral:rRNA from 1 species